CCUACGGGAGGCAGCAGUGGGGUAAUUUUGGACAAUGGGCGCAAGCCUGAUCCAGCAAUGCCGCGUGAGUGAAGAAGGCCUUCGGGUUGUAAAGCUCUUUUGUCAGGGAAGAAACGGUGGGAGCUAAUAUCUCCUACUAAUGACGGUACCUGAAGAAUAAGCACCGGCUAACUACGUGCCAGCAGCCGCGGUAAUACGUAGGGUGCAAGCGUUAAUCGGAAUUACUGGGCGUAAAGCGUGCGCAGGCGGUUUUGUAAGUCUGUCGUGAAAGCCCCGGGCUCAACCUGGGAAUUGCGAUGGAGACUGCAAGGCUUGAAUCUGGCAGAGGGGGGUAGAAUUCCACGUGUAGCAGUGAAAUGCGUAGAGAUGUGGAGGAACACCGAUGGCGAAGGCAGCCCCCUGGGUCAAGAUUGACGCUCAUGCACGAAAGCGUGGGGAGCAAACAGGAUUAGAUACCCUGGUAGUCCACGCCCUAAACGAUGUCUACUAGUUGUCGGGUUUUAAUUAACUUGGUAACGCAGCUAACGCGUGAAGUAGACCGCCUGGGGAGUCGGUCGCAGAUUAAAACCNGAAGAUGCGNNGNGNGNGCGAGCGACGAGAGGAG
rnacentral:rRNA from 1 species